rnacentral:tRNA from 1 species
GCUGGCGUAGCUCAGUGGUAGAGCAUCUGAUUUGUAAUCAGAGGGCCGGGGGUUCAAAUCCCUCCGCCAGCU